UGGGGAAUUUUGGACAAUGGGCGAAAGCCUGAUCCAGCAAUGCCGCGUGUGUGAAGAAGGCCUUCGGGUUGUAAAGCACUUUUGUCCGGAAAGAAAUCCUUGGCUCUAAUACAGUCGGGGGAUGACGGUACCGGAAGAAUAAGCACCGGCUAACUACGUGCCAGCAGCCGCGGUAAUACGUAGGGUGCAAGCGUUAAUCGGAAUUACUGGGCGUAAAGCGUGCGCAGGCGGUUUGCUAAGACCGAUGUGAAAUCCCCGGGCUCAACCUGGGAACUGCAUUGGUGACUGGCAGGCUAGAGUAUGGCAGAGGGGGGUAGAAUUCCACGUGUAGCAGUGAAAUGCGUAGAGAUGUGGAGGAAUACCGAUGGCGAAGGCAGCCCCCUGGGCCAAUACUGACGCUCAUGCACGAAAGCGUGGGGAGCAAACAGGAUUAGAUACCCUGGUAGUCCACGCCCUAAACGAUGUCAACUAGUUGUUGGGGAUUCAUUUCCUUAGUAACGUAGCUAACGCGUGAAGUUGACCGCCUGGGGAGUACGUCGCAAGAUUAAAACUUAAAUGAAUUG
rnacentral:rRNA from 1 species